rnacentral:rRNA from 1 species
UACAGAGGGGGCAAGCGUUAUUCGGAAUUAUUGGGCGUAAAGGGCGCGUAGGCGGCCUGGCAAGUGGAAGGUGAAAUCCCUCGGCUUAACCGAGGAACUGCCCUCCAAACUGCUUGGCUUGAGACCGGGAGAGGUGAGUGGAAUUCCCAGUGUAGCGGUGAAAUGCGUAGAUAUCGGAAGGAACACCGGUGGCGAAAGCGGCGCGCUGGAUCCCUACUGACGCUGAGGCACGAAAGCCAGGGGAGCAAACGGG